UUUUUUNAAUAUUUUUCUAUUUUCCCUUGUGUAUCUAUUCCAUGUUGCUUCCACUGAAUAGGUGAUUAGAUAUAGUUGCAAUGUUUUCUCUAUUGAAACUAUUGCAACCAUAUCUAUUUACCCUUCAUACCUUGGUGUGUUUUUUACAUACCAAUGAGGUGUGGAGAAAUGUCAGUGGGUAGCCAUAAUUUUAAAGAGAAUUCUUUCAUAUAUAGUCUGAUAAGAGUUAGAAUAAAGAAAAAAAACUUUCAACAACGGAUCUCUAGGCUCUUGCAUCGAUGAAGAACGCAGUGAAAUGUGAUAAGUAAUGUGAAUUGCAGAAUCUCGUGAAUCAUCGAAUCUUUGAACGCACAUUGCGCCCAAUGGUAUUCCAUUGGGCAUACCUGUUUGAGUAUCAGAAUCCUUUCAAUUAUCAAACUUUUAUAUAUAGAGAUAUAUGUAAAGAUGUUUGGAAAUACAAUUGAGAGAAGUAGUAUUAUUUUAUUUAUAGUAUUACUUUCUUAAAAACUAGAAAUGCUAUGUUUUGAUUUUUCCUCACCUCAUUUUGUAUAUUAUUUAACAAAUGAGUCUGAGUAAAAAUAUACAAUACUUUGGAUGAUCUCAAAUCAGGUAGGGAUACCCGCUGAACUUAAGCAUAUCAAUAAGCGGAGG
rnacentral:rRNA from 1 species